rnacentral:rRNA from 1 species
GACGUAGGGCGCGAGCGUUGUCCGGAAUCAUUGGGCGUAAAGCGCGUGUAGGCGGCCCGGUAAGUCCGCUGUGAAAGUCGGGGGCUCAACCCUCGGAUGCCGGUGGAUACUGUCGGGCUUGAGUACGGAAGAGGCGAGUGGAAUUCCUGGUGUAGCGGUGAAAUGCGCAGAUAUCAGGAGGAACACCAAUUGCGAAGGCAGCUCGCUGGGACGUUACUGACGCUGAGACGCGAAAGCCAGGGGAGCAAACGGG